UGAACAAGUGUUAUUGUUUGAGGCCAUAAAUUCUGUUCCACCACUUCCACUCGUUUCCAUGUCAGUCAAUAUCCCAUUGGAACUUCGCAUUGCUUUCGAUUGGAUACAACAAAAGAUUUCAGCACAUAUUUUUGCUCUGUAAAAUGUCCUGUGAGUAUGAAGUGAUUCUCUCCAUGCUUCGGCUGAAACUCCUACAGCCACAGAGAAAGAGAGUGAGAGAGAUGACAUUUUCAAAGGAUAAUGGGGAAAUGUUGAGUUUUGUGCAUUAUAGAACAUCUGUCACAAUUCCUAUUGUUAAUGGGACUCCUGCUUAGCUGGUGGACUAUAACAACAACAAUAACAACAAUUGCUACAAUGAAUCAGAUCCAGAAAGAGUUUAAAGUCGUAAACAUUCCUUCAAAUAGGGUGAAGUAUGCAACACGAGAUUUCAAAAUUUUACGCACAAUUGAUGGCAGCAGCAAUUGUUGAGUCUUUUUUUGUCUGCAUCUUUCUCAGCAAAAGACGAACAUGCAGCAACCCUCUUCGGCAACAUACGCACAUGUCAUAUGCAAAGCUGUGAACUACAACCCCUUCUAACUGAGCUGGCAAUGCAUCGAAGUGCUGAACUUGUAACUGUUGACAGUGUAAGGUUUUUGAGUGCUAAUGCUCAAAUGCUUACACACUCUCAUGACUUAUGCUGCUC